CUGGUUGAUCCUGCCAGUAGUCAUAUGCUUGUCUCAAAGAUUAAGCCAUGCAUGUCUAAGCACUAGCCGAUUAAUGGUGAAGCCGCGAAUGGCUCAUUACAACAGCCAUAGUUUCUUAGAUCUUACUUUUCUACUUGGAUAACUGUGGUAAUUCUAGAGCUAAUACACGCAAAAAAGCUCAGACCUUACGGAAUGAGCGCAUUUAUUAGAACAAAAACCAAUCGGGCUUCGGUCCGUCAUUUGGUGAAUCUGAAUAACUUUGCUGAUCGCACGGUCUUCGUACCGGCGACAUAUCUUUCAAAUGUUUGCCUUAUCAACUUUCGAUGGUAGUUUAUGCGCCUACCAUGGUUGUAACGGGUAACGGAGAAUAAGGGUUCGACUCCGGAGAGGGAGCCUGAGAAACGGCUACCACAUCCAAGGAAGGCAGCAGGCACGCAAAUUACCCACUCCCGGCACGGGGAGGUAGUGACGAAAAAUAACGAGACGGCUCGCUAUGCGGUCCGUCAUCGGAAUGGGUACAAUUUAAAUCCUUUAACGAGGAUCUAUUGGAGGGAAAGUCUGGUGCCA
rnacentral:rRNA from 1 species